GACGAACCGUGCGAACGUUGUUCGGAUUCACUGGGCGUAAAGGGUGCGUAGGCGGUCGGGUAAGUCUGAUGUGAAAUCUCACAGCUUAACUGUGAAACUGCAUUGGAUACUAUUCGGCUUGAGAGUUGGAGGGGGGACUGGAAUUCUUGGUGUAGCAGUGAAAUGCGUAGAUAUCAAGAGGAACACCAGUGGCGAAGGCGAGUCCCUGGACAACUUCUGACGCUGAGGCACGAAAGCUAGGGGAGCAAACAGG
rnacentral:rRNA from 1 species